rnacentral:rRNA from 1 species
UAGGGAAUCUUCCACAAUGGACGCAAGUCUGAUGGAGCAACGCCGCGUGAGUGAAGAAGGUUUUCGGACCGUAAAGCUCUGUUGUUGGUGAAGAAGGAUAGAGGUAGUAACUGGCCUUUAUUUGACGGUAAUCAACCAGAAAGUCACGGCUAACUACGUGCCAGCAGCCGCGGUAAUACGUAGGUGGCAAGCGUUGUCCGGAUUUAUUGGGCGUAAAGCGAGCGCAGGCGGAAGAAUAAGUCUGAUGUGAAAGCCCUCGGCUUAACCGAGGAAUUGCAUCGGAAACUGUUUUCUUGAGUGCAGAAGAGGAGAGUAGAACUCCAUGUGUAGCGGUGGAAUGCGUAGAUAUAUGGAAGAAUACCAGUGGCGAAGGCGGCUCUCUGGUCUGCAACUGACGCUGAGGCUCGAAAAGCAUGGGUAGCGAACAGGAUUAGAUACCCUGGUAGUCCAUGCCGUAAACGAUGAGUGCUAAGUGUUGGGAGGCUUCCGCCUCUCAGUGCUGCAGCUAACGCAUUAAGCACUCCGCCUGGGGGAGUACGACC